UCUCUGUGUUCUCUGAUGUCUGUGUCGUCAACAUUUGAACAUUUUUGAGCGGUCCGCUCUUUCUGACUGUAAACAAAGCCGUUCUCCACCUCCUCUAACCUGAUUGGUUGUGAGGCAGACGCUGCUCCCCCGUGUCGUUCAGGAGCCCAAACAAAGUUAGCGUGCUACAAUAUCGGACAGUAGAAACCAACCAGAAAGUUCGGAAAAUUGUCUGAAUCCUCCUUUGGCCACGACUGCCGACACAAGCAAGAAAACACUCAAACAUAAACAGUCAGCAAGAAAACAGUCAGCAAGAAAACUGUCAACAAGAAAACAGUCAGCAAGAAAACAGUCAGCAAGAAAACAAUCAACACCAAACCAGUCAACAGGUCAGCAAGAAAACAGUCAACCAUAAACAGUCAACAAAAAACAGUCAACAAGAAAACAGUCAACAAGAAAACAGUCAGCAAGAAAACAGUCAACAAGAAAACAGUCAACCAUAAUCAGUCAACAAGAAAACAGUCAACAAAAAACAGUCAACAAGAAAACAGUCAACAAGAAAACAGUCAACCAUAAUCAGUCAACAAGAAAACAGUCAACAAAAAACAGUCAACAAG